rnacentral:rRNA from 1 species
AGUGAACGCUGGCGGUAGGCCCAACACAUGCAAGUCGAACGGCAGCACAGGAGAGCUUGCUCUCUGGGUGGCGAGUGGCGGACGGGUGAGGAAUACAUCGGAAUCUACUUUUUCGUGGGGGAUAACGUAGGGAAACUUACGCUAAUACCGCAUACGACCUACGGGUGAAAGCAGGGGAUCUUCGGACCUUGCGCGAUCGAAUGAGCCGAUGUCGGAUUAGCUAGUUGGCGGGGUAAAGGCCCACCAAGGCGACGAUCCGUAGCUGGUCUGAGAGGAUGAUCAGCCACACUGGAACUGAGACACGGUCCAGACUCCUACGGGAGGCAGCAGUGGGGAAUAUUGGACAAUGGGCGCAAGCCUGAUCCAGCCAUACCGCGUGGGUGAAGAAGGCCUUCGGGUUGUAAAGCCCUUUUGUUGGGAAAGAAAUCCAGCUGGUUAAUACCCGGUUGGGAUGACGGUACCCAAAGAAUAAGCACCGGCUAACUUCGUGCCAGCAGCCGCAGUAA